rnacentral:lncRNA from 1 species
AGGGUGUUGUUUGGGGUGUUGGGGUGUUCCUAUGGGUGCUGGGGUGUUCCUAUGGGUGUUGGGGUGUUCCUAUGGGUGCUGGGGUGUUGUUUGGGGUGCUGGGGUGUUCCUAUGGGUGCUCAGGGUGUUAUUGGGGUGCUGAGGUGUUCCUAUGGGUGCUCAGGGUGUUGUUGGGGGUGCCGGGGUGUUCCUAUGGGUGUUGGGGUGUUCCUAUGGGUGCUCAGGGUGUUAUUGGGGUGCUGAGGUGUUCCUAUGGGUGCUGGGGGGGUUGUUUGGGGUGCUGGGGUGUUCCUAUGGGUGUUGGGGUGUUCCUAUGGGUGCUCAGGGUGUUAUUGGGGGUGCUGGGGUGUUCCUAUGGGUGCUCAGGGUGAUGUUUGGGGUGCUGGGUGUUCCUAUGGGUGCUGGGUGUUCCUAUGGGUGCUGGGUGUUCCUAUGGGUGCUGGGUGUUCCUAUGGGUGCUGGGUGUUCCUAUGGGUGCUCAGGGUGUUAUUGGGGUGCUGGGGUGUUCCUAUGGGUGCUCAGGGUGUUAUUGGGGUGCUGGGGUGUUCCUAUGGGUGCUCAGGGUGUUGUUUGGGGUGCUGGUUGUUCCUAUGGGUGCUGGGUUGUUCCUAUGGGUGUUGGGGUGUUCCUAUGGGUGCUGGGGUGUUCCUAUGGGUGCUCAGGGUGUUAUUGGGAUGCUGGGGUGUUCCUAUGGGUGUUGGGGUGUUCCUAUGGGUGCUGGGUGUUGUUUGGGGUGCUGGGUGUUCCUAUGGGUGCUGGGUGUUGUUGGGGCCUGCUGGGUGUUGUUGUGGGUGUUGGGGCCUUGUUGCUUGGGCUGUUGCUAUGGGUGUUGGGCUGUUCCUAUGGGUGUUGCGCUGUUCCUAUGGGUGCUGGGGUGUUGUUGGGGGUGUUGGGGUAUUCCUAUGGGUGCUCAGGGUGUUAUUUGGGGUGCUGGGGUGUUCCUAUGGGUAUUGGGGUGUUCCUAUGGGUCCUCAGGGUGUUGCUAUGGGUGCUGGGCUGUUGUUCGGGGUGUUGGGGUGUUAUUUGGGGUGCUGGGUGUUCCUAUGGGUGCUGGGCUGUUGGUGGGGCCUGGUGGGUGUUGUUGUGGGUGUCGGGGCCUUGUUGCUUGGGCUGUUGCUAUGGGUGUUGGGCUGUUCCUAUGGGUGCUGGGCUGUUGUUUGGGGUGCUGGGCUGUUCCUAUGGGUGCUGGGUGUUCCUAUGGGUGCUGUUGGGUGUUGUUGGGGCCUGCUGGGUGUUGUUGUGGGUGUCGGGGCCUUGUUGCUUGGGCUGUUGCUAUGGGUGUUGGGCUGUUCUUUGGGGUGCUGGGGUGUUCGUAUGGGUGUUGGGGUGUGGUUGGGGUGUUGGGGUGUUGUUUGGGGUGUUGCUAUGGGUGCUGGGGGGGUUGAUAGGGGUGCUGGGGUGUUCCUAUGGGUGCUGGGGUGUUGUUGGGGGUUGUUGAGGCCUUGUUGCUGUGGUGUUGUUGCUAUGGGGCUGUAGUUACUAUGGGUGCUCAGGGUGUUGUUGCUCAGCCCCCCAUAUUCCCCCCCCUCUCCCCCCCAUAACCCCGGACCCAUAGGGACAGCCCUGACCCACUUGGAAAUGGGGCCAGGGCCUGGGGCAGCAUGGAGCCUGCAGGGCCUAUAGGGGGGCAGGGCCUAUAGGGGAGCAGGGCCUAUAGGGGGGCAGGGCCUAUAGGGGGGCAGGGCCUAUAUGGGAGCAGGGCCUAUAAGGGAACGGGUCCUAUAGGGGAGUAGGUCCUAUAGGGGAACAGGGCCUAUAAGGGGGCAGGGCCUAUAGGGGAACAGGGCCUAUAGGGGAGCAGGGCCUGUAAGGGAGCAGGUCCUAUAAGGGAACAGGGCGUAUAGGGGGGCAGGGCCUAUAUGGGAGCAGGGCCUAUAAGGGGGCAGGUCCUAUAAGGGGACCAGGGCCUAUAGGGGACCAGGGCCUAUAGGGGGGCAGGUCCUAUAAGGGAGCAGGUCCUAUAAGGGGACCAGGGCCUAUAGGGGACCAGGGCCUAUAGGGGGGCAGGGCCUAUAGGGGAGCAGGGCCUAUAGGGGAGCAGGGCCUAUAAGGGAGCAAGGCCUAUAGGGGAACAGGGCCUAUAGGGGAGCAGGGGCUAUAGGGGAACAGGGGCUAUAAGGGGGUAAGUCCUAUAAGGGAGCAGGGCCUAUAGGGGAGCAGGGGCUAUAGGGGAGCAGGGGCUAUAGGGGAGCAGGUCCUAUAAGGGAGCAGGGCCUAUAGGGGAGCAGGGCCUAUAAAGGAACAGGGCCUAUAGGGGAGCAGGGGCUAUAGGGGAGCAGGGUCUAUAGGGGAACAGGGCCUAUAGGGGAGCAGGGCCUAUAAGGGAGCAAGGCCUAUAGGGGAACAGGGCCUAUGGGGGAGCAGGGCCUAUAGGGGAACAGGGCCUAUAAGGGGGCAGGGCCUAUAGGGGAACAGGGCCUAUAAGAGGGCAGGGCCUA